CGUCUCCAGUCGCAGCCGCCGCCGCCACCGCACCCCAAUCCAACCCCGCCGCCGGCGAUCUCCUCGCCCCCCUGUGCCGUCGCCCCCAACCUUCUAUUCCUCUCCCAAGGGAAGGGAAGGGAAGGCAAGACAAGGGAAGGGAGAGGGAGCGCCCAGAUCCACGGCGGCAUCAGCGCGCCGUCCUCCACCUGAUCCGCGUCCAUCCACAGAUGGGAGCUAAUCGGCGCAGGAAAUCCCCGUCCCCGCGUCCGAGCCCCGCCACCCUCCGCAACGGCUCGACCGCCCAUCGACGCGCUGCCCCCGCGGCGCCCGACCAGUUUGGCUCUCGCGGCUGGUGGACGCGCCCUUGCUGUUGCCGACGCCGGCUCGCUGUGCCGCACUGGCCCUCACAAGCGUCUUCUGUCAAUGAUGGACUUGAGAGGUCAAGGAGUUUCCAUUGGGAGAUCGGGACAUGCUCCUCCAUCUCCUCCGGUGGACGACAUCCAACAUCGCCAGUUCAUGCACUUAUGGACUGAAGAAAAAAAUGGAAAUGAAGAAGAAAAGAAUUGCAAUAUUAUCAUAUGCGAGGUUUGCUUUUAACCUUGGUUCCUAACCAAUAUUUGCUUCAUAAUUCUGCCGAGAGAUUCACACUGUCAUUCAUAUUAUGAAUAUAGUUCAUAACCAGUAUUCUCUUUUAUCUAAUUAUAUGUACAGAAAGGAGUAAUCUGAAGUGAAUUCAUGCUAUGUUAACAGUCUAACAAGCAUCUUGGAGGUGUGAAUGCUUUCUUGGGUCUGACAAGUAAUCAAUAAUUGAUGGUAUACUGGGAUUUUUCUCAUACUUCUAGCACUUCCUCAUUGACAAUAAAGCAAGUAGUAUCACAACAAAGGCUAUCCAGGUAUUUUUUUUUCAACUAUAAUCCUUCCAGCUUUAGGGACUGCUCAAUUGGAUCUGCACAAUCCAACAAAAUAAAUGUGCAUAGUGUCUGCGACACUUUCAUUCGAUCAUCACGAAGGUAGUUGUAGGAGUAAAAAAGUAUGUCAUACUGUUUUUUCAGUUCAAGCCAAAAGGCUAGGACAGGUAAUACUUGUUUUUACAGUACUUGUGCAAAAAGUAUGUCAUACUGUUUGCUCUAGAUGAUUUUGAUGAAUUUUACAACCUUAUUUUCAGUUGUUUACCCCAAGAAAUGGUCUGCUUUCAUGGGGUUUAUUGAAUCCAGGAAAGAACUGUGAGUAGUAGCGAACCAGACAUGAAAAGUUUCAGACAACUACGAAAACUCCGGUCAGUUUUGUCGGGAUCUUGUGACACAGUUCCAGGACUCUAUUGACUAAGGAAAUGAUAUAUAUGUGUGAUUUAUCCUGUUAAAACUUUUAGUGUUCACUUAGGGGUGAGUGCAACCAGUAACUGAAUUUAGACUACGAACUAGAGUAUGACAGUAAAGUCAGGAGCAUGAUGGAGAACACGCGGGACACUGAGGACUAAUGAUCAACACUUAAAUCUUGCUUUACAUACAGUUCAGUUCCAAGUAGUCUGAUACAUAGAUGGCGAGGGGAGUGCUGAUUUGGGGUUGAUUUUGGUAAUUAUAUAUUUUCCUUGAUGGCUGUCAUUUUGUUGUCCUACAUGUGCUAUAUGAUAUGCAUAACAACUUGAGAGCACCUUUGCUUCUCUUGAUGUGCUUCGUCAUACAGUUUUUUAAAGUGCACAAGCAAGCUUGCGAGUGAUGACAACUACUAUGACCUACAACCUUGAAUCUAGGUUUUUGGGGUUGAACAUAGGGGCACAGCGCACUCUCCCAUCUAACCAGUGAAGCGUAAUGAAGGAAAAGCUACAAUAUACAAAUCGUCACCGUCAUUCAGUUUGUCCAAAACUGAGAAAAGCUCUUUAAAAAAACUGGGAAAAGCUCACGUGAUGGAAUGAGAUGAGAUUUCAACAUCAUGAUUGCGUUUUAUAAUUUGAACGACCAAAGUAGAUGGUCCCGUCAGCCCGUGUUUGACAAUAUGAAGGGACAAACUUGUUGAUCCAUUAUUUUGCCAGGAAAAUACAAUAAUUCGGAGGGCUUAAAUAUGGAUAAUAGAUCUGACAUAAUCUAGCAAGGUGAGUGACUCAAUUGCACAUGUGCAAAAUGGAAGUUUAAACUUCCUUGAAUCUCUUGUAGGGUUUGGGGGAGAUUGUCAGCGAGCCACUGAUGAAAGUCCUUUUGCGAUGACAAUGCUAGAGAAGAUUUGAAAGAUCUUGGUUGGCGUGGGGAAACUUGUGUAUUCCUGGAUGGGGGCGCCGUCCGGUGGCAGUGGGGUGUGGCAGUUGCCGCAGCUGGGCACAACCGGGAGUCCACCUAUCCAGAACACCCAACUAUUUCAUCCGGUGAACUGCGAAGAGCUUCUGUGUGCGUCUCUGUUAUAUUUAACUACGACAGGCUUAUGUUAUCUUAUCGCGAACUCAUUUUUCAGUUUGUGCCCAACGUGACUGCAUGUAAAUAUGUAAUACAGCAAUUUUGUUCUUCCUUUUUGUUGUUUGAUUGACUCAGUAUACCAUCUCAAAUGUCAUUCCCUUUAUAGCUAGCACAUCAUCUCCAAAGAAUUUAUUUAAGUUGAAAUCCAGUAAUUAUAUGUUGAUCGCAUAAGCAGGCUGAUGGUGUCUUGGUCGAAUUUUUUUAUUCCUUCUCUAUGGAACUAAAACUGUUCUUUCCUGAAUAUAUUGGAUCGCAAAGAACUAAACCUAUGUACAAUGUCUUUGGGCAUAUUCUGAAUUUGCAGAAUUAGCACAAAUCUGAAAGCAUAUAUGCAGCUCCCAGAUGUUGCAGGCUAGAGGAAGGGCAGGCACUCAUGCGAUACCAUGUAUCUGGUAGUGGUUUCGUUCCCCAGACGCUAUGCAUUUAUUGUCUGGUUGGACGCGCCGGGUGUGGGGACACUGCAGGACAUGUUUGAUUAUCAUGUCAGUGAAUUCUGGCGAGAAUGAACCAAGUGAGCUUUUGUAGCUGGUCUAUUCAAAAUGGAUGAACGGACCAGUUAGUGUACAUAUAAGUUUGCACUCUGUCUUCCUGCUCAUUCGUGCAAUGUGUUCAUGGGAGACUUAUUUUAGGAAAACAUAAAAUAAUUUUUCUUUCUGUGCGUACUACUCCAGCUUUCAAGUGCCAGGCUUCAAUAAAUCUGAAAUUUCUAUC